rnacentral:precursor_RNA from 1 species
ACCCUGCACGCGCCCGAUCUCGUCUGAUCUCAGAUAGAGCCGGACGGCGCCCUGUGG